AUUAUAAUUGAAAUCUUCUCCAGGCAAAUCCCACCUACAAGAUCAACGACUUACAGCACAUGUCAUACAGAUUAGACGGCCCAGAUUAAAAGUAUGAUCACGACCUUACAUCUCUACUCUUCGCCCUACUCUCCGCGGCGGCGGCGGCUGCUGCGGCGUCGGCCCCUGCCUCACCGCGCUCUUCCUCCUCCUCGCGCUCGCGGGCUUCCUCCUCUGGCCCGCCGACCCGGACGUCUCCCUCGCCCGCCUCCGCCUCGCGCACGUCUCCGUCGUGGUGCGCCCCGCCGUCGCCGUCACCAUAUCCGCCACGCUCAAGGUCCGCGUCCGCAACCCGGACUUCUUCGCGCUCGACUACAACCGCCUCGACGUCGCCAUCGGCUACCGCGGUGCGCCUCUGCGCGGUAGUGUCGGAGCCACACACACCGCCGCCUGGGCCCUUGUCGCCGCCGGUCGGCCAGCCAUGACAGCCUGGAUCUAUGCCCCGCCGGCCCCCUUGCUAGGCACGGGAGAUCGUGCCCCGCCACCUCAUGGAGAGCUCGCGCUCCCUUGCCAUAGAUCGAACCCCUGCAGACACACAAAGAGGUAACGCACGCCACCUGCUCGCUGAAUAUCGAGGACGACCUCGCAUGUGCCAUUCGUGGCCUCUCCUGGAGUUCAGAGCUCGCGCCUGCCCCAGGCCUUCAGAGGUCAUCUCGCAAGCAGCUGAGCAACAAAUUAAGGGUGACUAGGCGAGACACACCUUCAGUAUGAAGUACGAGAUACGUCCUCCAAGUACACUGCACACUGAUAUUCUUUAGAUCCCUUGAAAUUUUUAAUUAUUUGGCCUAAAAUUAAUUCAUGUUCUGCACAUUACUUGUAAGUUAAAUAUCAGCCUCAAUAUUUGACAUGUGUUUUAGCUUUGCUUCUUGGUUAGUAACGAUGAUAAAUUAUUUGUUGAAAGUUAAAUGAAUUAGCAUAAAUUUUCAAAUGAAUGGACUGAAUCAACGUGAUUCAGAUUAGCAGAGAUAGAAGGUUGAACUUUUAAAUUUUUUAGUGCAUCUCAUAAUAAGCACAGCAGUACAACACAGUCUCUAAGACCGUGGUGGUCAUAUAUGAGUUGAUUAAAUCUUGAAAUGCUGCAGUUGAAGUCAAAAUGCAGCACCAUGGUUUACUAUGGAUAGGAUUGAAUAAUGGUAUAUGUAUAAAAAAAGUAGACUUUAGGUUUCUGCCAACUCAUUAUCUUUAAUCUGACAUUUUUAUGCUAUAAUAAAAACUAAUGCAACGACUUUGUUGAAUUAGUCUCAUUUGUACAUAGUACCAUAUAUCUUUAUUUGCCAUGCACUAGAUGGAUUUGAGUAGGUACAAAGAUGGGUCGGCAUACAAAGAAAUUAAUAGGGGUGUUGGAACUAUAGAGUCGAGGAAUGGGAUUGGAUUCAAUUGAAACAUUUUAUAUUGAGUUUUUUAUUUAAAUAUCUCUGUUAUUUUCUCCUUGACCUUUAGAGCUUCAGCUCUCCUGGGAUUUGUGUGCUCAUCAAUCCUGUUGCUUGUAUCUGUGAGAUUUUGUGACAUAUUGCCUUAAAAAAAAGUAAGUGCAGCUGAGUCUAAUAAGACGUUCUGAAGUGAUAAUCAAAUCGUCUUUAUAUUUUUAAGUAUGCUACAUAUAGAUAUAUUUGGAAUUGCUACAUUACUAGAGUGCAAAGUUAAAGUGGUUCAUUCAUUUAACCUAAAAGAUGCAUAAAUCUGAAAUGUUUGUCUUCGUGCCUAAAUAUGAAUAUUUAUAUAAUACACAUUUGAUGGUAAUUAUUGCAAAUUUGCUUCAAUAUUAGUUCUUAUGCUAAGAAGUGUACACUUUUGCAUACUGGAAAUUUUAAUGAUCCCUUGCCCUCAAUGUUUCUAUUGUGGCUACCCAUCACAUGGUAUUUCGUAAGAUCAUUCGUUAACUAUCCUUUCAGUAUUAAGCGUGCAUCUCACUUCUGAACUCAAGACUGCUUUUGUAGAUUAGAGAGGAUGUUAGAAACUCAAAGCUUCCUGUGUUUUCAUCAUUUAAAGAAAUACAAGGAGUUGGUUUUAACUAUGAAGCUUAAUCUGCAAUUAGAGAUGGAACUUGAAAAUGCUGCAUGUACUGACCAAGUGUAGUUACUCUGUUGUUUGCCUCUGAGCCACCUGAUAAGUCAUAGUAUCCCCCUACAACCAACAUUAAUAUUUCUAUUUAUGUGCCUACAAUUUCAUAUGUUAGGAUGUGGUGCUUGAGAAUGUUUCCUAUGUUCGGAUGUGCAUAAUUGGUCAAACAAAUAUUUUUAUUUGUGUCUAAAAUUUCUUUUCUGACUAUAUAUAUUUUGUAAAAUCCAAUUUUAAGGGUUUUUCUUGUGUAAUUCUUGGGAAGCUAGGAUCCGUUUAUUUGCUCCAGAGAUUGGUUUUGCUUCAAAUUAGCUUGUAGUCAGAUUCUAUUUAUAUUCAAUUCUAUUCAAUUUUCGGUUCAGAAUUCUCAGUGCGUGAUUGGUUGCAGGGAAAUCAAAGUAAGAAAGGAGCCAUCAUAGCAGAGAUUCCGGAAGGUGUGGCCUUCCUAUUUCCUGUUGGGCUAUUGACUUGUUGAUAUGGUGUAGAAAACUAAAUCCUCAGAGAACAUUGACAGAUGCAAAGUAAUUUUUCACAUGCCAUAUGUUUCAUUCACGAGAACACUACCCAGUGCUUGCUGUAUAUAUCACCAAUGGUUAUCAAUCAUAUUAUUGUCAUGGUCGUUAAUAUGGCUUGAAAUAGAUGAUGUUGAGACUUUGUAGAUUGUAAUAAUUGUUAAACUGCUUCCCAGCUUGAGUAUUAAUAGUAUUUCAAAAACGGAAAUUUGUA